GUGUCAGCAGCCGCGGUAAUACGAAGGGGGCUAGCGUUGUUCGGAUUUACUGGGCGUAAAGGGCGCGUAGGCAGAUUGAUAAGUCAGGGGUGAAAUGCCAAGGCUCAACCUUGGAACGGCCUUUGAUACUGUUGAUCUCGAGUCCGGGAGAGGUGAGUGGAACUGCGAGUGUAGAGGUGAAAUUCGUAGAUAUUCGCAAGAACACCAGUGGCGAAGGCGGCUCACUGGCCCGGAACUGACGCUGAGGCGCGAAAGCGUGGGGAGCAAACAGGAUUAGAUACCCGAGUAGUCC
rnacentral:rRNA from 1 species